GCUUUGGCAAUAUGUAUAUACUAAAACUGGAACAAUGCAGAGAAGGCCAGCGUGGCUCCUGCACGAGACGACGCAUAAAUUCACGAGAUGGUCACUAUCCUU
ensembl:snRNA U6 U6 spliceosomal RNA